CGGAGGCAGCAGUGGGGAAUAUUGCGCAAUGGAGGAAACUCUGACGCAGCAACGCCGCGUGAAGGAUGAAGGUUUUCGGAUUGUAAACUUCUUUGAUGAGGGACGAAACAAAUGACGGUACCUCAAAAACAAGCCACGGCUAACUACGUGCCAGCAGCCGCGGUAAUACGUAGGUGGCGAGCGUUGUCCGGAAUUACUGGGUGUAAAGGGCGUGUAGGCGGGGAUGUAAGUCAGAUGUGAAAUACCGAGGCUUAACUUCGGAGCUGCAUCUGAAACUACGUUUCUUGAGUGUCGGAGAGGAAAGCGGAAUUCCCAGUGUAGCGGUGAAAUGCGUAGAUAUUGGGAGGAACACCAGUGGCGAAGGCGGCUUUCUGGACGAUAACUGACGCUGAGGCGCGAAAGCGUGGGGAGCAAACAGGAUUAGAAACCCCGGUAGUCCC
rnacentral:rRNA from 1 species